UUAAGCCAUGCAUGUCUCAGUGCAAGCCGUAUUAAGGCGAUACCGCGAAUGGCUCAAUAUAUCAGUUUUGGUUCCUUAGAUCUUACUCAGUUACUUGGAUAACUGUGGUAAUUCUAGAGCUAAUACAUGCAAUCAGAACUCCGACCAGUGAUGGGACGAGUGCUUUUAUUAGAUCAAAACCAAUCGACGGAGGGCCUCGCGUUCGAUGUCGUUAAUUUUGAUGAAUCUGGAUAACUUUUGCCGAUCGCACGGUCUAGUACCGGCGACGCAUCUUUCAAAUGUCUGCCUUAUCAACUUUCGAUGGUAGUUUCUGCGACUACCAUGGUUGUCACGGGUAACGGGGAAUCAGGGUUCGAUUCCGGAGAGGGAGCCUGAGAAACGGCUACCACAUCCAAGGAAGGCAGCAGGCGCGCAAAUUACCCACUCCCGGCACGGGGAGGUAGUGACGAAAAAUAACGAUACGGGACUCUUACGAGGCCUCGUAAUCGGAAUGAGUACACUGUAAAUAUUUUAACGAGGAACAAUUGGAGGGCAAGUCUGGUGCCAGCAGCCGCGGUAAUUCCAGCUCCAAUAGCGUAUACUAAAAUUGUUGCGGUUAAAAAGCUCGUAGUUGCAUUUGUGCGCCGCGCUGUCGGUGCACCGCAUCCGCGGUGAUACUGACACGUUUGCGGAGCAUAUCGUCGGUGAGCCGCGGCGGUUAAACGCCCGGUUCAAUAUCAAAAUCCUAUCGCGGUGCUCUUCAUCGAGUGUCGAGAUGGGCCGACAAUUUUACUUUGAACAAAUUAGAGUGCUCAAAGCGGGCUCAAAAUGCUGCUUGAAUAUUUCGUGCAUGGAAUAAUAGAAUAUGAUCUCGGUUCUAUUUUGUUGGUUUUCAGAACUCCGAGGUAAUGAUUAAUAGGGAUAACUGGGGGCAUUCGUAUUGCGACGUUAGAGGUGAAAUUCUUGGAUCGUCGCAAGACGAACAUCAGCGAAAGCAUUUGCCAAAAGUGUUUUCAUCAAUCAAGAACGAAAGUUAGAGGUU
rnacentral:rRNA from 1 species